UGUUAUGUAGACAUGCUCUUUAUUUAUGCAUUUUAUACUGUCCAACCAGUAGAACAGGUCCUGUUCUGUAGACAUGGUCCUUAGUUAUUUAUUCACGUUGGACCAGUCCAAUUUGACUGUCAGUUGAAAUAAACCUUUUGUUGUAAGAAAA